rnacentral:rRNA from 1 species
UACGUAGGUGGCAAGCGUUGUCCGGAAUUUAUUGGGCGUAAAGCGCGCGCAGGCGGCCUCUUAAGUCUGAUGUGAAAGCCCCCGGCUCAACCGGGGAGGGCCAUUGGAAACUGGGAGGCUUGAGUAUAGGAGAGAAGAGUGGAAUUCCACGUGUAGCGGUGAAAUGCGUAGAGAUGUGGAGGAACACCAGUGGCGAAGGCGACUCUUUGGCCUAUAACUGACGCUGAGGCGCGAAAGCGUGGGGAGCAAACAGG